rnacentral:rRNA from 1 species
UACGAAGGGGGCUAGCGUUGCUCGGAAUCACUGGGCGUAAAGGGUGCGUAGGCGGGUCUUUAAGUCAGGGGUGAAAUCCUGGAGCUCAACUUCAGAACUGCCUUUGAUACUGAAGAUCUUGAGUUCGGGAGAGGUGAGUGGAACUGCGAGUGUAGAGGUGAAAUUCGUAGAUAUUCGCAAGAACACCAGUGGCGAAGGCGGCUCACUGGCCCGAUACUGACGCUGAGGCACGAAAGCGUGGGGAGCGAACAGG